CCUACGGGAGGCAGCAGUAAGGAAUAUUGGUCAAUGGAGGCAACUCUGAACCAGCCAUGCCGCGUGCAGGAUGACGGCCCUAUGGGUUGUAAACUGCUUUUAUACAAGAGAAAACCCUGGUACGUGUACCAGGUUGAUAGUAUUGUAAGAAUAAGCAUCGGCUAACUUCGUGCCAGCAGCCGCGGUAAGACGAAGGAUGCAAGCGUUAUCCGGAUUCAUUGGGUUUAAAGGGUGCGUAGGCGGACUGAUAAGUCAGUGGUGAAAUCUCUUUGCUUAACAAAGAAACUGCCAUUGAUACUGUCGGUCUAGAGUAUAGAUGACGUUGGCGGAAUAUGACAUGUAGUGGUGAAAUACUUAGAUAUGUCAUAGAACACCGAUUGCGAAGGCAGCUAACGAAACUAUAACUGACGCUGAGGCACGAAAGUGCGGGGAUCAAACAGGAUUAGAUACCCUGGUAGUCCGCACCGUAAACGAUGAUUACUCGUUGUUGGCGAUAUGACAGUCAGCGACCAAGCGAAAGCGAUAAGUAAUCCACCUGGGGAGUACGCCGGCAACGGUGAAACUCAAAGGAAUUGACGGCGNGAGAGNGCGAGGACGACACGAGGGAGGAG
rnacentral:rRNA from 1 species